rnacentral:rRNA from 1 species
UGUCACGCCAGUGGCAUUGCCGAGUAGCUAAGUGCGGAAGAGAUAACCGCUGAAAGCAUCUAAGCGGGAAACUCGUCUCAAGAUGAGUCUUGCCGGGGCCUUGAGCCCCCUGAAGGGUCGUUCGAGACCAGGACGUUGAUAGGCUGGGUGUGGAAGCGCAGUAAUGCGUUAAGCUAACCAGUACUAAUUGCCCGUGAGGCUUGACCCU